rnacentral:ncRNA from 1 species
UAAAGAUUGCUUUUAUGGAGUUAAAAUUUGAUUAUGGUUUGUUAAGGUUUAAAAUGAUAUUAUUUAAUUUUAAUUUAUUAUGUGGGCAAUGAAAUUUUACCCCGGCAAUAAAUUGUUUGUAUUAUAUUAGUUCCAGAAUAAUCGGCUAGACUAGUAGAACUUAAACUUUAUUUUUGUUGUGUUACGGAAAUUUGUUGAGUAGUUUUUGUAAUUUUAGGUAAAAUUAAAAUUUGUUGUUGAUAGUUUUCGUAUCAUUAAGAUUUUUGGAAGCGAAUUAGAUUAGUACCUAAUUAGUAAAAAAUUAAAUAUCCAGGAGUAAAGUUGUAUUUAAACUGAAAGAAUAUUGGCAGAUUGUCUAAAUUAUCUUUGGAGGUUGAGUAAUAAUUGAGAACCCUCAUUAACUACUUAUUUUUUGGGCUCAUGUAUGAUCGUUUAUCUUAAACUUAAGGUUUGUGAAAUUGGAAUUUUUCCGUUAAAAUAGAUAUAUAUUUGGUUAAUGUAUAAGUUUAAUUUGACCUACAUUAUUUUGUAUUGUGGAUUAUUAAGGUAGUUUUAGUAUGAAAUUGUAAAAGACAGUAAAAAGGUUUUUAUAUCUUUUUGAAGAUUAUUUAGAAAUGGUACAAAUCAUCCAUCAAUUGCCUAUAGGGGAGUAAGUUGUAGUAAAGUAGAUUUAGGGGAACCUGAAUCUAGUAUUU